AUUGAACGCUGGCGGCAUGCUUUACACAUGCAAGUCGAACGGUCACAGGUCUUCGUUUGCUGUCGAGUGGCGCACGGGUGCGUAAUACUUCGGCACGUGCCUCGUAGUUGUGGGUAACUACUCGCAACAGUAGCUAAUACCUCAUGCGAUCUACUGUUUAAAGCCGGGUACCUUCGUGCCUUGUGCUACUUUUGCUGCUGCUGGUAGAUUAGGUCGUUGGUGGGGUAAAGGCUUACCAAGCCUGCGCUGUGUAGCUGGUCUGAGAGGACGACCAGCCACACUGGGACUGAGACACGGCCCAGACUCCUACGGGAGGCAGCAGUGGGGAAUUUUGGACAAAGGGCGAAAGCCUGAUCCAGCAAUGCCGCGUGAAGGAUGAAGGACCUCGGGUUGUAAAAUGCUUUUGUAAGGAAAGAAAAGACUGGGGAGAAUAUCCGCGGGUCAUGACGGUACCGAAAGAAUAAGCACCGGCUAACUACGUG
rnacentral:rRNA from 1 species